AGGGGCACGGCACGCCCGGACGGUCACGUAAAAACAAAGGAGAGGAGACGGAAAGAGUCAUACAACGGUUAUGAAGUAUCAGAGUUCCGAGGAUACCUCAGUAACACUAGAACUAAUACAUGUCCCCGCGUUUAUUAGUUUCGCACAGUCCGUCGCUGAGUCAUGGUAAACAGUUGAUCGACUCAACGUCCCGGAACAGUUUCCGCCCCAUCAGCUUCGAUGGUUGGGUAUUGGCCUACCAUUGCAACAACGGGUAACGAGGAAUUAGGGUUUGAUUUCGGAGAGGGAGCCUGAGAAACGGCUACCACAUCUACGGAUGGCAGCAGGCGCGCAAAUUACCCAAUGCAGACACUGUGAGGUAGUGACGAGAAAUAAUAAAGCGGGACUUCUGUUUCGCUAUUAUAAUGAGGAAUAACCAAAGGUCAUUCCGAUUAGCAACUGAUGGGAAAGUCUGAUGCCAGCAGCCGCGGUAAUACCAGCGUCAGUAGCAUAUAUUAAAA
rnacentral:rRNA from 1 species